GACGAACGCUGGCGGCGUGCUUAACACAUGCAAGUCGAACGGAAAGGCCCUGCUUUUGUGGGGUGCUCGAGUGGCGAACGGGUGAGUAACACGUGAGUAACCUGCCCUUGACUUUGGGAUAACUUCAGGAAACUGGGGCUAAUACCGGAUAGGAGCUCCUGCUGCAUGGUGGUGGUUGGAAAGUUUCGGCGGUUGGGGAUGGACUCGCGGGUUAUCAGCUUGUUGGUGGGGUAGUGGCUUACCAAGGCUUUGACGGGUAGGCGGCCUGGGAGGGUGACCGGGGACAUUGGGACUGCGAUAGGGCCCAGACGCGUACGGGCGGCAGCGGGGGGGAAUAUUGCACAACGGGCGGAAGCCUGAUGCAGCAACGCCGCGUGCGGGAUGCCGGCCUUCGGGUUGUAAACCGAUUUCGCAUGUGACGAAGCGUGAGUGACGGUAAUGGGUAAAGAAGCACCGGCUAACUACGUG
rnacentral:rRNA from 1 species